rnacentral:lncRNA from 1 species
AAAACAACCAAGCAAAUAACCUUAGCUCUGAUACCAGUUGUUGGGAAAAAUCACCACCCAAAGUCUGUUGUUGUUGAUAAAUUAAAUGAAUAAUAAGUAAGAAAAACAAACAAAGAGACACCAAGAUUAUCAAACCACGAGACACCAAGAAUUUUACGUGGAAAACCCUCUAAAACUAAGAGGUAAAAACCACGGGACGAUCUCCGAAAAAUCCACUA